rnacentral:lncRNA from 1 species
CAGCCUCUGUGUUGAACCAUCGAAGCUCAACCUAUACAUCUCAAAUUACAAUUUUUAAACCAUUUUUAAAAAGUGUGUGUGUGAGAGAGACAGAGAGAGAGACAAAGAUAGAGAAAGAGAGAGUGUGUAUAAACAGGUGGAGGUCCUCUGACAACUUUCAGAAGUGGUUCUGUCCUCUACCAUUCGAGUUCCAGGGAUCCAACCCAAAUCCUCAGGCUGACAGGGUCUCACCUAUGUAGCUCUGCCUUCCUGGAAUUCAGUAAGUAGACCAGGCUGGACAGAACUCACAGAGAUCCGCCUGCCUCUGCCUCUCAAGUGCUGGGACUAAAGUGGUGCAACACUACACCCAGCUAUGUUUGUUUUUAUUUUAUGUGCAUUGGUGUUUUGCCUGCAUGUGUAUCUUGGGUUGGGCAUCAGAUCUAGAACUGGAGUUAAGAUGGAUGUGAGCUACUGUGUGGGUGCUGGGAAUUGAACCUAGGUCCUCUGGAAGCACAGCCAAUGCUUCCAUUAACUGCUGAGCCAUUUCUCCAGUCCUCAGUUUUUAAAAAGGUACCCAGUAUGUUUUAUAUUUAGACUGCUUCUGAGUAGGGUGUUUUGUAAGUUGAGAACUGUCUGCAUUCAUGUAUGAUGUCAUUAAAUAUAUAUUUGGUCUGUCUAAAACUAUCUGGCAUUUGUCCUUUACCAACACUGCAGGGUAUUUUAGUUUCUCAAUAUGUAAGUUUAAAAGGCACAGCCAAAUCUAAUGAAUGUCAAACUCAAGUCCACUACAGUACUUUCAAACAGGAAAAAAAGAAAAAAGGAAGGAUUAAUUAGGAUGAAUAAUCACUUGAAAAGAAUACAAAGAGGAACUCUCUAAAACCAUUAAUCCCCCUGAAUAUGUUUAAAUUCGAAUUAACUAAAACACCACUGCUGAGGGAAAGUGUUGGUCCUUUAUGAGAAAACAGGCAUUGAAAGUAUGAAUGCAGUAUUCUAAAAGGUGGUAAAGCUGAGCAUUCAAACAUGUUUCCCGAAGGGUGAUCUAUUUAAGCUAAUAAACCCAGUGUGGUGGCCCACGUCUAUGCCCUAGCACGCUGGAGGUAAAAUCAGGGCUAUCAGGAAUUCAAGGUCAUCCACCACAGGAUGUUCAAAGCCAGCCUGGGCUAUGAGACCCUUAUUCAAAAAAUAUACAUAUAUAAGAACAGGUGAGACAGCUCCACAGGUAAAGGUAGCUGCCACCAAGUUUCAUGACCAGACUUUGACCCCCACAAUCAAUGUGCUGGAAGGAUAUAACUCCCAAAAACUGCAGUAACUAAAAGCACAAAUAAUCAAAGCCUGAGCAGAAAUGGUAUGGGAUAAGUAGGGUGUUAGUGGGGG